CAACUUUCAGCGAUGGAUGUCUUGGCUCAAACAACGAUGAAGGGCGCAGCGAAGUGCGAUAAGCAUUGCGACUUGCAAAUUCCGUGAAUCAACAGAUUCCUGAACGUAUACUGCGCUUUUGGGAUACCCCUGAAAGCAUGCCUACUUCAGUGUCUAUU
rnacentral:rRNA from 1 species